UUCAAUCCACUGUGUGGGUUUUUGUGGGCAUAUAAAUGCUCAAUCGUCACUUCCGGUGUUUUCAAUGACGUCGGGUUUUGUUUACAUUAAUUUCGUAUCUCCCAAUAUAAAUCCAAUGUCAUACAAUUAUUGUAGACUAUUAAUAUAGCCAUUCAAAAAAUUAUUAGCUGCAAUUAUUAUUAGUAAAGCCAUUUCAAAAAUAGAAACAGUCAAGGGACGAGAAGCAGAAUUAACUGUUUGAGGGAGCACCAGUAAAAAGAUAAUUUCAAAGCUCCUAAUUAUAUUAUGUCAUUAUUUGAGUCAUUCGUUUGUGCGCGUGGGGAAACUCACAAGGUUAGUCAGGCGACUCUACUCCUUGUUGUCACAUCAAGCACAGGAACGGAACCACCCUCACUUGAAUCAGUGUUAGAGCUUAUGAACUACACCGCACGCGUUACAGCUAAGACACCAACCUGAUUUUAUAGGAUUUCCUGGCAACUGUAAGGAAGAAACCAUCUGAUUUUAUAGGUUGUGUUGGUCUGUAAGGAAGACACCGUUUGAUUUUACAGUUUCUAGAAAUAACUGUGCAGGCUGAAUUUACUGGAACCGACUAUUGUCAUUACUUCUGUUCAUUUUGGGACGGUAAGACACUGGCUCGUUAGCCUGAAGGUCGCGUGUUCGACCCCUGCAUUGGCCGAGAAAGUUCAUCGGGAUUUCCCCUUUUCAGUGGUGCAGGACGGAGUGCCCGACAAGGACAGAUGUCUAGUGGUUCGGAUGGGGCGAAAAACCAAGGCCCCGUGUAUACAUUGGCGUGCAGGUAAAAGAUCCCUUGGUAGUUUGAAUUAGAUAUAAGAGUAGGCCAUAGUGCCGCUGCCCGGGCAAAAUUUCCCUCAUAGCACUGUAUGGCAUAUGCCCGUCUUCAUUAGCCCAGUACAGGAAUAGGACUUUAAACCCCAUUUCAUUUCAUUUCAUUUUGGGACGAAAUCGGACGUUAACUGCUGAACUUGGCAGAUUUGCAAAGACUCGUAAAACGACUCUUAGAGGAAAACCGAGCCGCAUUUUGUAUUCGACACUGGAAUAUACACUGCUUUGAUUAGAUUAUCUUACCGGGGACACUACUUAAGCCCACUUAAACCACAGCUAUGAUGUCAUCCUUUGUUCUUUUAAUCCAUUAUAAUGAGGAAUGGAUUGUUGUCUAAACAAACAGUCCAUUAUUAAUGAAAACAAUCCAUUAUUAAAGGAAAUAGUCCAUUAUUUUUAGACAUUGUCCAUUAUUAGUGAAAAAUACAUUAAUAAUAAAGUGUAGUCAUUAUAUAUUAAGCAACUGAAAAUAAAUCAAAACAACCUGUCCAUUUAUUACUAAUUUCCCUUUCAACAUUUACAAAAUUUUAAAUAAAUUGAAAUUUCCGAAGAAUAGAUGUUAAUUUCCCUGGAAUCACUGGACAGUUUUGAAUUAUUUUGUUUUGGACUUGACGGUUGACACAAUUUUGGACAUUUUUCAGCUACACAAAUGUUACGUAAGUCCGAUAGUUGAUUGUCGCGUGUCCGUUUAUAUGCAUUUGAACGAUGUCCAUUUUUUUCCACAAUGAGCUGUUCAUCGACUCCUGCACCAAAUAAACGUGUAGCUGCGAUAGCUCUCAAUGAGUGGUUCGUAUAGUUCCCUUUGAAUCCAGCCACCUGGCAGAUGCGUUUUAUUGUCUGCUGUAAUAAAUGAAUUCCCAUAGGCGAGUCACCAUACCAUACAUUAGAAUCUGGUAUAGCUUCCUAGGUCUCAGAUAAAAAGCAUCAGUCGGUGUGAAAACUAGAAAUAAUCUGGUUUUUAACAUGAUUUUCUAAAUCAUCACCAGUCUAAUUGAAAGAAUGGUUGUUUUGUUUCUGUGGAUUAUUAACAUACAAUCUGGUCAAUUUAUUUUACGAAAAGUUGAUUUUACGACCCAUUUAAUCAAAGGCCAAUCAAAAUGCUUCUGAAUUUAUAAUAAUUGUAAUGUGUACAUAUUCAUCAAAUGAUUCUA